GACAAUGUUACUGAGUUGACUAGUUCAAACAGACCAAAAGAAACAUUCUUUGAUUGGUUUUUCAAUCCGUUGUUGAUCAUCAAGGACCAGAUAAAAGCAGAAAACCUUUCUGAAGCAGAAGAGGCCUACCUUUGCAAGUUAGUUCUGUUGAAUGGUGAUCCUUUGAGGUCGAAAAACUCAAACAUUGGCUCAGCACCUGAAUCCGAGCGUAAACAGGCUGAACUUGAUGCAUUUGCUCGAAGGUAGUCAUGCAAUUUUGCUUAUAUUACAGGAUCUUCUGAUUUUUUUUUCCCCUUUCCCUCUUUUCUCUGGUUCUCUAUUUUGUGAUUUAUCCUAUUUCUCAUGUCAUGUAGGCUCCAAGGUAUCACUAAGUCUAUCUCAAGGUAUCCAACUUUUAGGCGUCGAUUUGAGAAUCUUGUGAAUGCCAUAUCUGAUGAUCUUGCCCAGAAUGAUGGUAGCAGCAAACCAACCGAUGGACCAAAAACAAUUCCAAGAUCAAAGAGUGCCUUUGCCCGAUUGUUCAGCCAGAAAUCUUUUAGUUUUACAAACAAAACAAGCAAUCAUGGGUAUGAUCCAGAGUCACAAACAGUCGUAAAUGAUGUGACAAUCACAUAAUGAAAUAUGUUAAAAGUAGCCUUUGUUUUCUCUCUUUUUUUUCUUCUUAUUGGUCUUUUUUAGAGAUUAUUUUUGUUCAUUCUGCAAAGGGUAGUUAACCUAGAAGAAUGUAUUUUUCGAUGUACUGUAUGUAUUUUUCAAUGUACUGUAUACAAAUAUGAUUGCAAUUGCAAAGAGAUGAAUGUUGUUGGUGGAUCUGAUAUGAUACCUUACAAUUGCUUUGACUCCUAACCUCUACAAACCGCUCUCAUCCGUGCUUUGCUUGUGAUAUCAAGGCUUCUAUUCUAUAUAUAAACUUAUGCAGCUUAAUUUUCUUUCAGUCAAAAUUUCAUUUAUCACCUCCUGGUUUUGGAUCUGACACUGACCAAACAACACAGUAAAUGCUCCAGAAUAACUAAACUCAACAAAUACAGAACAUGAAGCAGGGUUACCACAGUGGUUGUGGCCCUCCCCCUUCCUCCCUGCUUGGCACCUAGGAUUGAAAUCUUAGGUUUCUUUUCUCCCAAUGUAACCAAAACAGAAGUAAGCUAUCCGGGAUUAAGAACCUUUGAUUUUCACACCAUGUUCAAGUUUGUUGAAGUCACGACCCAUGAUCCACCAUAAUUCUGAACGUGCAAACUUAAAGAGUUAGCUCACCAAAAGAUAAAAAGAUAAAAGAAAUUCCAAUUAGUAAUUGACUAUGUCAAAGCAAGCCCCAGCUUCUCAGGUCACGUAACCUCCCACCACCUAUGUUAGUGUAGCAACUAACUGUCCCACAGCUACUAUAUUAACCCCAUUUCCACCUGCAGUUAGUUGUUGCAAUCUGAUAUUCAUCAUCUCCUUGAGACUUCCGAGAGCUUCUGUGUUGAAAAAGCUUCCCAAAAUGGCUAACUGCAACAUGAACUGUGCCAGAGCAACCCUGUUUUUGUUGACAAUUUUCAUCUGUUUUGGCCAUUUCUCAGUCUCUGCCUAUGAUUUCCAAGUAGGUGGAACCAAAGAUUGGGUUGUGCCUCCUACUAAUGACAGCAAAAUCUACAACGACUGGGCCUCCGGAAACCGGUUCCAAGUAGGCGACACCAUUCGUAAGUAGGCGCAUAAACACAUGCCAUUUCAUGCUAUUUUUCUGUUUCAUAGUUUUAUAAUUAUGUGGUUUGGUGCAGGUUUUAAGUACAAGAAGAACUCUGUUAUGGAGGUGACAGAGGAAGAGUUCAAGAAAUGCAAUUCAACUCGCCCCAACUUCUUCUCCAACACUGGAAAUACAGUUUACCUGUUUGACCACGCCGGCUCUUUCUAUUUCAUCAGUGGAGCUUCUGGGCACUGCCAGAGAGGACAGCGCAUGAUCGUUAAGGUGAUGUCCUUGGAGGAAUCUCCUUCCAGCGACCGCAGAUCUUCUGGCUCUCGUGCUGCGGUUUUCUGAGUCUUUGCUCAGUUAGCUGUGUCCCAUGUUGCUUGUCUUCUCUUCUAGUUGACAUGUUUCAUUCGUUUGUGUAAUGUUAAUCAGGAUGUUGAUUGUCGAUGUUUAAUUCGAUUUGGUCAUAUUGUUGCCGUGUUUAGAUAUUCUCGUUAGUUUAUAGAUUCUUUGUUUAUGUAGUAGCAGGUACCAAUAAACGAUGUUUAAGCUCUAGUUAAUUUGGUUCGUACAUUAAUCUUCUUCUUGUUCUGCAUUGAUCGCUCGCUUCUAUUUCAUGACAGAAAUUUGAUGGUUUUGCAUCUUAGAUUCAAGAUGAGGAAAUUUAAGUGUAAAAACAAAAAGUACGAACAGCGAUCGAUGGAUCUUGCCAUGCUAGUAAAAUCCAAAUUGGCAAGAAACUCUGUGCCUUGAACAAAUACAUAUCAUUCGAAUCUUUCCAAAUACAUAUAUACAUACAAAGAAUGGUGAAAACAUGCUGUCAUGUUGAAAAUUUUUAGUUUUCCUAAAAUUGAGAUAAUGUUUUACACUAUACAAAAAUAUGGGGACAUUGAAUUAAGGGGGUUUAACAAGGAACAAUCACAGAAAGAGACGAGUGGGAGGGAAGGAAACCACAAAUUCCUCGUUCCUUUGCCAUCAGACUAAGUAGCAGUGGACGCAUGGAUGGAUUAAUAAUUUGUGAUGAUAUUCCUCCUUCCUUGAAAAAAAAAAAAAAAAAACUUUACAGGGCCCGUCAUCGGGCCCCUUUUCAUGUUAUAGGGCCUACUUCUGGGCCUAUCAUCGGCCCGUUUUCAAGUUAUAGGGCCUACUUCUGGCCAGUCAUCGGCCCGUUUACAUGUUAUAGGACCUAAAUAACUUUUUGUAUUUCAAGAUAUCCGUUAGAUUCUAUAUUUUAUAUGUUUACCACAGCACAGCAUCGAUCGACCGAUCGAUCUGAUUGGACCUUUAAUAACAGCACAUUACUUUAAACAAUCAAAAAGCUUCGAUCGGUCCUUUAAUAACAGCACAUUACUUUAAACAAUCAAAAAGCAGCAGCCUCGACAACUAAAUUGUGAUCCAAGAAAUUCACUUCAACCCAAUAUACUGGGAUCAAUUAUAGCAUUACAUAAUAGAAAAGAAAGAAAUUAAAAAUGAUAAAACAAACAAAAUAGUCAACCUGCAAAGACGAAAUAAUGUUGUAUUAGACACUUCUCCUAUUAACUGUAAAUGACGCUACCAACACAAACUGUAAAUUACUAUCUGAAAAUUGAAGAUUAUCAAUCUCGUCACUCGAGAGAUUGACAAACUCCACAGCUUCCAUUGCAAUGUGGGCAAAUAAAGCCACACAUGCAUCCACAAAUUCCACGAACUCAAAGAGUCUGGGCAACGCGCGUGGAUUAAUUAAGAAUAGGAGUGCAGAAUUCCCAAUUGUCAACUGGGGAAAAGCCAUAGCUCGCAGCUUUAGCUUCGAUGCACUGAAGCUCUCAGCAUCGUACACUCCGCCUCUGGCAGAGGCAGAAUGCAGCUCAAGCAGAUCCACAAGGGAGGCAAGCCUAAACACAAGUCAAAUAUUACGACCUUAAAUCUGAAAAGGAAACUCGAAGCAAACAGAGAAAAGGAAAAUAUUCACCUCUCAUGUGCCUGCCCUAAUACCUCAUCAGGCUGCUCCUCAUCAGGCUCGGGCUCAUCAGGCUCCUCCUCAUCAGGUUCAGGCUCAUCAGGCUCCAACUCAUCAGGCUCAGGCUCAUCAGGCUCCUCCUCAUCAGGCUCGGGCUCAUCAGGCUCCUCCUCAUCAGGCUCGGGCUCAUCAGGCUCCUCCUCAUCAGGCUCGGGCUCAUCAGGCUCCUCCUCAUCAGGCUCAGGCUCAUCAGGCUCCUCCUCAUCAGGCUCAGGCUCAUCAAGCUCCAACUCAUACCUCUCCGCCAGCACCCCCACUUAUACCUCCGCUAGCACCUCCUCCGGCAACUCCUCUGGCAACUCAUCUGGCAACUCCACUGGCAACUCCUCUAGAAACUCCACUGGAAACUCCCCAAGGGAGGGGAACCUAAAUAAAAACAGGUUAAAGAAAUAUACAAAGUAUUUGAUUGAUUUAUCAGAUGAGAUCUCCAAAGUAGAAAACUAAAAGGUACCUCUCAAGUUCUGUCUCCGAUUGACAAACUCCAUAGCUUCCAUUGCAAUGUGGGCAAAUACAGCCACACAUGCAUCCACAAAUUUCACGAACUCAAAGAGUCCGGGCAACGCGCGUGGAUUAAUUAAGAAUAGGAGUGCAGAAUUCCCAAUUUUCAACUGGGGAAAAGCCAUAGCUCGCAGCUUUAGCUUCGAUACACUGAAGCUCUCAGCAUCGUACACUCCGCCUCUGGCAGAGGCAGAAUGCAGCUCAAGCAGAUCCACAAGGGAGGCAAGCCUAAACACAAGUCAAAUAUUACGACCUUAAAUCUGAAAAAGAAACUCGAAGCAAACAGAGAAAAGGAAAAUAUUCACCUCUCAUGCGCCUGCCCUAGUACCUCAUCAGACUGCUCCUCAUCAGGCUCGGGCUCAUCAGGCUCCUCCUCAUCAGGCUUGGGAUCAUCAGGCUCCUCCUCAUCAGGUUCAGGCUCAUCAGGCUCCUCCUCAUCAGGUUCAGGCUCAUCAGGCUCCUCCUCAUCAAGCUCAGGCUCAUCAGGCUCCAACUCAUCAGGCUCAGGCUCAGGCUCAUCCUCAUCAGGCUCGGGCUCAUCAGGCUCCUCCUCAUCAGGCUCAGGCUCAUCAGGCUCCAACUCAUCAGGCUCAGGCUCAUUAGGCUCCUCCACAUCAGGCUCAGGCUCAUCAGGCUCCUCCUCAUCAGGCUCAGGCUCCUCCUCAUCAGGCUCAGGCUCAUCAAGCUCCAACUCAUCAGGCUCAGGCUCAUCAAGCUCCAACUCUAUAUAAAUUCAUCUAUACAAGAAUUAAAAAAAGAAAAUGACUAAUUGCUCUACAUAAUCAAAAGCAAGAUUGUUAUAGGUCUGUUAUGAGUUAGUUUGGCUAAUGAGUUACUUAGUAACACUGGUAGUAAUACGAUCAUUAUUACAAAACAUAAUAACAGGAAGAAACAACAAAAACGAGGUUCCAUCAUUGUUUCUCAAAAUAACAUGUAACAUUCAACCUCUUCACUCUUACACAGCCUGCAAACACAACAAACAGUGUAUUAGAGGAGAUGCAUACAUUAUCUUUUUUCUUCAAGAAAAAAAAAAUACUUAUGAUAACCAUUCAUUGUUUCUCAAAAUAACAUGUAACAUUCAACCUCUUCACUCUUACUCAGCCUGCAAACAUAACAAAUAGUGUAUUAGAGGAGAUGCAGACAUCAUCUUUUUUCUUCAAGAAAAAAAAAAGUACUUAUGAUAACCAUUCAAGCAGAUGAAAUUUACCCCUUACAAUAGCAAUGCGACCAAUUCCAGGACCAUUAAGCAUAACAAAUUCAGCCGCACUCAUUCCGGAGUGGGCAAAAACACCCAUGCACGCAUCCAAAAAGUCUUUGAAUGCUAUCAUUCCCAUCAGAGGCCCGGGAUUUAAAAAAUAUGCAAGCCUAGAAUUUUCGAUACUCAUACAGGGAAUCAUUAAUGACUGCAGCUUAAGCUUGGCAGCAUUAAAACUGCCAUUAUCAUAAACCCUGCCCCUGGCGCACACAGAGUGCUCGUGAAGAAUAUCUUCAAGUGAGGUCUUGAAGAAUUCUUGUCCAAAAUCCAAAGGAGCUAACCUAAAUAGAACCAGGGGGAUCAGAAAAACUUUUGCAAAUACACAUAAUCACAAAACUCUAUAUAAAUUCAUCUAUACAAGAAUAAAAAAAGAAAAUGACUAAUUGCUCUACAUAAUUCAAAGUAAGAUUGGUAUAGGUCUGUUAUGAGUUAGUUAGGCUAAUGAGUUACUUAGUAACACUGAUUGUAAUACGAUCAUUAUUACAAAACAUAAUAACAGAAUCCUAUUCUUCUUGUCCAAAAUCCAAAGGAGCUAACCUAAAUAGAACCAAGGGGAUCAGAAAAACUUUUGCAAAUACACAUAUAAUCACAAAACUCUAUAUAAAUUCAUUCUCUGAUCCAGACGACUUCCCAGCUUUCACACGAUCAGGUCCCUGUUUCCUACAGUUCAACAGUUUAAGCCAAUUAGAAGUAGAAAACUAAAAUAAAAAUCAAUUAUUCAUUAAAAUAAAAGAAAAAACCUCAGAAUUGUGUGAAGCGUCCAAGCCAGGAGUUCACCCUCAGGGAUCUCAGUCUCAGCCGGCAGUUCUCCCUCAGGGAUCUCAGCCUCAGCCGGGAGUUUUCCCUCACAGAUCUCAGUCUCAGCCGGGAGUUCUCCCUCACGGAUCUCAGCCUCAGCCGGAAGUUCUCCCUCACGGAUCUCAGCCUCAGCCGGGAGUUCUCCCUCACAGAUCUCAGCCUCAGCCGGGAGUUCUCCCUCACGGAUCUCAGUCUCAGCCGGGAGUUCUCCCUCACGGAUCUCAGCCUCAAGCAGAUCCACAAGGGAGGCAAGCCUAAACACAAGUCAAAUAUUACGACCUUAAAUCUGAAAAGGAAACUCGAAGUAAACAGAGAAAAGGAAAAUAUUCACCUCUCAUGCGCCUAUCCUAGUACCUCAUCAGGCUGCUCCUCAUCAGGCUCGGGCUCAUCAGGCUCCUCCUCAUCAGGCUCGGGCUCAUCAGGCUCCUCCUCAUCAGGUUCAAGCUCAUCAGGCUCCUCCUCAUCAGGCUCAGGCUCAUCAGGCUCCAACUCAUCAGGCUCAGGCUCAUCCUCAUCAGGCUCGGGCUCAUCAGGCUCCUCCUCAUCAGGCUCGGGCUCAUCAGGCUCCUCCUCAUCAGGCUCAGGCUCAUCAGGCUCCAACUCAUCAGGCUCCUCCUCAUCAGGCUCGGGCUCAUCAGGCUCUUCCCCAUCAGGCUCAGGCUCAUCAGGCUCCUCUUCAUCAGGCUCAGGCUCAUCAAGCUCCAACUCAUCAGGCUCAGGCUCAUCAGGCUCCUCAUCAUACCUCUCCGCCAGCACCUCCUCCGGCAACUCCUCUGGCAACUCAUCUGGAAACUCCUCUGGCAACUCCACUGGCAACUCCACUGGAAACUCCCCAAGGGAGGGGAACCUAAAUAAAGACAGGUUAAAGAAAUAUACAAAGUAUUUGAUUGAUUUAUCAUAUGAGAUCUCCAAAGUAGAAAACUAAAAGGUACCUCUCAAGCUCUGUCUCCGAUUGACAAACUCCACAGCUUCCAUUGCAAUAUGGGCAAAUACAGCCACACAUGCAUCCACAAAUUCCACGAACUCAAAGAGUCCGGGCAACGCGCGUGGAUUAAUUAAGAAUAGGAGUGCAGAAUUCCCAAUUGUCAACUGGGGAAAAGUCAUAGCUCGCAGCUUUAGCUUCGAUGCACUGAAGCUCUCAGCAUCGUACACUCCGCCUCUGGCAGAGGCAGAAUGCAGCUCAAGCAGAUCCACAAGGGAGGCAAGCCUAAACACAAGUCAAAUAUUACGACCUUAAAUCUGAAAAAGAAACUCGAAGCAAACAGAGAAAAGGAAAAUAUUCACCUCUCAUGCGCCUGCCCUAGUACCUCAUCAGGCUGCUCCUCAUCAGGCUUGGGCUCAUCAGGCUCCUCCUCAUCAGGCUUGGGCUCAUCAGGCUCCUCCUCAUCAGGUUCAGGCUCAUCAGGCUCCUCCUCAUCAGGCUCAGGCUCAUCAGGCUCCUCCUCAUCAGGCUCAGGCUCAUCAGGCUCCAACUCAUCAGGCUCAGGCUCAUCCUCAUCAGGCUCGGGCUCAUUAGGCUCCUCCUCAUCAGGCUCGGGCUCAUCAGGCUCCUCCACAUCAGGCUCCUCCACAUCAGGCUCAGGCUCAUCAAGCUCCAACUCAUCAGGCUCAGGCUCAUCAAGCUCAAACUCUAUAUAAAUUCAUCUAUACAAGAAUUAAAAAAAGAAAAUGACUAAUUGCUCUACAUAAUCAAAAGCAAAAUUGUUAUAGGUCUGUUAUGAGUUAGUUUGGCUAAUGAGUUACUUAGUAACACUGGUUGUAAUACGAUCAUUAUUACAAAACAUAAUAACAGUAUCCUAUUCUUCUUGUCCAAAAUCCAAAGGAGCUAACCUAAAUAGAACCAGGGGGAUCAGAAAAACUUUUGCAAAUACACAUAUAAUCACAAAACUCUAUAUAAAUUCAUCUAUACAAGAAUAAAAAAAGAAAAUGACUAAUUGCUCUACAUAAUCCAAAGCAAGAUUGUUAUAGGUCUGUUAUGAGUUAGUUAUGCUAAUGAGUUACUUAGUAACACUGGUUGUAAUACGAUCAUUAUUACAAAACAUAAUAACAGAAUCCUAUUCUUCUUGUCCAAAAUCCAAAGGAGCUAACCUAAAUAGAACCAGGGGGAUCAGAAAAACUUUUGCAAAUACACAUAUAAUCACAAAACUCUAUAUAAAUUCAUCUAUACGAGAAUAAAAAAAGAAAAUGACUAAUUGCUCUACAUAAUCCAAAGUAAGAUUGUUAUAGGUCUGUUAUGAGUUUGUUAGGCUAAUAAGUUACUUAGUAACACUGGUUGUAAUACGAUCAUUAUUACAAAACAUAAUAACAGAAUCCUAUUCUUCUUAUCCAAAAUCCAAAGGAGCUAACCUAAAUAGAACCAGGGGAUCAAAAAAACUUUUGCAAAUACACAUAUAAUCACAAAACUCUAUAUAAAUUCAUCUAUACAAGAAUAAAAAAAGAAAAUGACUAAUUGCUCUACAUAAUCCAAAGCAAGAUUGUUAUAAGUCUGUUAUGAGUUAGUUAGGCUAAUGAGUUACUUAGUACCACUGGUUGUAAUACGAUCAUUAUUACAAAACAUAAUAACAAAAUCCUAUUCUUCUUAUCCAAAAUCCAAAGGAGCUAACCUAAAUAGAACUAGGGGGAUCAGAGAAACUUUUGUAAAUACACAUAUAAUCACAAAACUCUAUAUAAAUUCAUCUAUACAAGAAUUAAAAAAAGAAAAUGACUAAUUGCUCUACAUAAUCCAAAGCAAGAUUGUUAUAGGUUUGUUAUGAGUUAGGCUAAUGAGUUACUUAGUAACACUGGUUGUAAUACGAUCAUUAUUACAAAACAUAAUAACAGAAUCCUAUUCUUACAAUUCUCUGAAACUACUCUUCUAUUUCUUUAGUGUAAUCAUGGUACCUUAUUAUAUAUAAUCUAAAAACGAAGAAAAAAAAAGAACCUUUAAGAUCGAUUCUCUGAUCCAGACGACUUCCUUUCACCGAUUAUUCAAAAGAUAACGAACAUCCCUUCACCUCUCUCCUCUGCCUCACCAAAAUCAAAUCAAAUUAAGAUUGAGCCAUGACAUACACACGCAGUAUGCAACAAAUAUAAAUACUACAUAACAAACACUAAAUUAACCUCCCUCCGUACCUCUCUGCAUUAUCACGAAGAAAAGCAAGCAAACAGUAUCUAUCUCGAUCGGCUCCACACGUAAGUUUUUCAUUCAUCAAUCUGUCGAAUGCUUAAUCUGCUUUACUUUUAUUUGUUGUUUCCAUGAAUUCGUCAGUUCUACUUCCUUUGUUUGUUUGAUAUUUUAUUCGGCUUAAUAUACUUCUUUUCCUAUUAUAUUCGUUGUUUACGCUGCUGAUGUAAAUACUGGAGCUGUGAUUCGCUGCAAAGUUUUUAUUGACAAACUUUCCAGAAUUCAGAUAUUUCAUAAUUCCAUUAAGCUUGACUUAGAUGGGCUUGCCAGGCUUCGAGUCCGUGCCUUUGAUAGUGAAGGUACUUUUUGAAAUGCUAAUGAUCACGAGAUGUUUGGGGCCAUUGAAUUCUCAAUUUCAUUUCUUGGUAGUGCACUCAUUGUUGUUGAUGCUCUUUUUUUCUUUUUCCUUUUUUGAGAGGCAGAGGUAGUCGCCACUCUCUGUGUGUGUUUCACUAACUGAGCUUCUUGAGAGGCAGAGGUAGUCGGCAGGCGAUCUAACCACACAGAAAAAGAAAGGAAAGGUGUGGUGUUUGGAGAAGGAGACGGGUGUCUGUAGGAUCAAUUCUGAUAGUGUGUGCAUUGUGUGCUGGAAUGGGGCUGUUGAUGCUCAACUUAAGACAAGUUGAUCCUCCAACGAGCCCCGAUUUCCCUAUGCAAAUUCACAAUUGGGAUUCAGAGUCUGAAAGCGGUGGUGGUAGGCUUGGGGUUAAGGACGAGGCAGAGAACAAGAUUAAGAGAAAAUCCAACUCCUGUGCUAUGGUGGAAGAGAUGGGAAAGGACUUCAAAGGAGGGUUCUGGGAGGAAAGUCUCAGAGUCAGGAAACUUAUUCAGCAUCACUUUGACUUGAAUGGUAUUUGUCUACUCUCAUUUUCUUCAGGCUGAUUGUUAGUGUCACAUGUAUUAUACAUGCUACCCGAUUCAUGAAAGUCCCAAACAUUGAAAUUGGUCUUGUUCUUAAUUUCUCAGCUUCUUUUAAGGUUUUACAUUUGCGUGAGAUACAUUUGGUUAUGUUCCCUGAUUCUGCUUGAACAAUUCUACUAGCACUUUCAUGCUUUGCCUGCCCAUAUUCUGACUCCACCCAGUGUAUUUAUUCCUCACAACUACUCCCAGUCAGGCCAUCCAUCUUUCACAUUCUUGUUCCAUAUACAAGCUUUUUGUUAUAUUUAAUCUAUAUUUUUCACUGAAGUUGCUGAUAUCCUUAUAAAAGAAAGUGAUUUUUAAUUUCUUAUUUGUUUGUUUUUUUUUUCAGAACUUCAUAGCAUCCUUCUUUGAGUCUGGAACCCGUGAUUCAUCCUAUAGAACGUUUGAGAGAUGGAAGCUCAUAUGACUCAUUCAAUUUCAGGUGCUUCCCAUGUCCGAAAUCUUCUUCCAGAACAGUUUUGUCAGCAUGGCUUUGUGAUGGGUAAAGCAUCAGAGGCAGGUUUCGGGAAUGAAAUGUACAAAAAUUUUAGUGGUGCAGCAUUAAGUAUACUUUUAAACUGGUCCCUGAUCAUUGGGCAAAGCAGGCAAGCCUUUCUUUUCUUGUAUUUCAUAAAUUCUUUUUCCCUGCGGUAACCUGAAUUGUUUGAAAAAGUUGGUCUUUUGGCUUUCCAUGAAACCAUAUUAUAUAUUGUUUGUUUAUCAUAAAUAAAUAAAUAAAUAAAUAAAACGUUACAUAGAGCUUCCCUUGAAAGUUUAUUAGAAGAAACCUAUCAUAUGGUAACGUGAGACAAAUUUUAGAUAACUGUUACUUAUCAGUAUGCACCCUGAGAUGAGGAAUGCUGCUUCUAUUUUAUUUGGAAAGCCAGAGGUUCUCCAUUCUCGGCCUAAUGUAUUUGGGGAGAUAAUGAGAGUGCUUAUAACUCCUUCCGAGGAUGUUGAGGAUGCCUUCAAUUGGGUUCUUAGUGGAGUGGAACCUGAUAUUUCACUGCACUUGCGAAUGCUCAUGAAUAAGUAAUGCAACCCCCCAUUUAUUUCAUUUCUUGAUUAGGUUAAAUUUUGAAUUCAGAAAUAGGUUAAAUUUUGCAGCCAAUUCAUUGUGAUGUUUUAUUAUCCUUAAACUUCCCCUGUUAGUUGAUACCACGCCAAUUGUAAUGUGCACUCAUGCAUCAGAAAGCUUUCACACACACUCAACACUCCUAUGAGUUUAAUCUAUGACGCAGGUUUUUGCCUCGUGUUUACCAGAGCUGCACAGGCAGCAUUGAACUGCAUCAUAAAAGCUAAGCAAAAUCUUGGCAAGUCACCAAGACCCAGGGUAGUCAUAGUGUCAGAUACUCCCUCUCUCAUGAAAAGUAUUACACCAAAUGUAAUUAAACUUGCAGAGGUAAUUUAUUUUUACACUGGCAUGUUACAAAUUAUACUGCAUAAUCAGCACUGUGUAUCACUCAUGAAAUUAUGAAUUUUAUAAUAAAUUACCACCUGUGUGCAUCCCCUAUUUGUGGCCACACAUUGGGCAACUCUAUGUAACUUUGUUCUCUUUUAAAUCUGUAGUCGGGAAUGCAGCCUUAAUUUCUUUCACCAAAACGAGUUAAAUACUUUGAGAAUCUCUUUUUUUAACAAAUUGUUUAACAAUCGAAUUUUGUCCUUUUGAUUCUAAUUGAAUCGUGGUUUUCUUAGGUCAUUCAUUUUGAUUAUGAACUUUUCAAAGGAAAUAUAUCUGAUAGCAGAAAGGGAUUGCACAGUUUAGAUUUUAGAAUGAAAGAUUGGGGCCCAGCGCCCAGAUGGAUUGCCUUUGUAGACUUCUUUCUUGCAUCACGUGCAAAAUAUGCUGUUGCGUCCGGGGCUCACAGGCAUGUUGGGACGACUUAUGCACAGUUAAUUGCAGCACUGGCUGCAGCAAACAAUCUUGGGACAUACAUGCAUACGGUGUUUGGAUAAUUUCCUCUUAACAAAUGUUGCUCAAACCUCGAAGUGUUGUAAUGUUCAUUCUAUUCCAUCUUUCGCAGGUGACAAACCAACUGGUUCUAAUUUUGCAUUUUUAAGCAGCUUUCAAGGUGAUUUGUUGAGAGAAGGUUUAAGAUUUCAGAUUGGUUGGGGGCAUGUGUGGAACAGAUUUGCAGGUCCCCUUGGGUGUCAUAACCAGCCUAAUCAAUGUGCUUUCACACAUCUUCUCCCUCCGGCAUGGUGGGAUGGCCUUUGGCAAUCCCCCCUCCCCCCCACCCCAUCCAAGGGAUAUCAAGAAGUUGGCGGAGUACGGGAUCCAGUUAGCAGGGUUUGGCACAAUUGAUGAAAAUUAUCUUGACACUUUUUGUUGCUCAAGGAAGGUUGUGGUGAAAACUGUUCCAUUCCUUCUGUUUCAGCCUAUGUUUUGGCACGCCCCCCACUUUUUAUAGUUGUAACAUUAAGCCACUCAUUCUUUUGGGUUCUUCUGUUGUUCUGCCAUCAAAUCAAAGGCUGGCUGCCUUUUUUACCUUAAAUAUUUCGAAUUUUGUUUGUCGAAGUUUGAUCAACACCCUCAAGUAGAAAGGAGCUAAGGCCAAAAAUGAUUUAGAUCUUAAACACUUGGAAUAUCUGCAUAAGCGUUGCUUGCCUCCUUUUCUGGAAUUGAAAACACAAAAAUAAAGACUUCUAUACAUGUUCAGCUGCUAUUAACAGGAAUGUGGAAGUUCCUACAUACAUAAAAGGAGGGAAGUAUGUUCCAUUAAACAAAGUGUAUCGAGCACACUAGAAAUUUAUUUAUUUUGGUUGAAUAGCUAAGCCGGACGUGUCAUAUUGAACAAGUGUCCAACAAGUCUUCUCAUAUCCUCUUGAGAAUAAAUAAUGAUUCAAUAUUUAUUUUGAAUGAGUUUCACUUGACGUCUAUGAUAUUAAAAUCAAAUCCACCAUAUUACUUACAUAUAAUAAUGUCAAGGUAUCCGGCAUAAAUAAAUAUAAAUUGUUAAUUCCAAAAGAGAGUAUAUACUAUUAAUAAUUUGUUAUUCUCUUUUAGCACAAUUAUUAAUUUUUAUUAUUAUUAGCAAGGAAGAGGAAAGGGUAGAAUAUCAGGAAGUAGGUAGAAGAAAAAUGUCAAAGAAGAAGAAGUUGACCAAUCCAAAAGUUCAGAAUAAAAAAAAAAUAAGAAAAGGAAUGACAACGUGUGAAUGGUGACGUCAUCUUAAAAGCGACAGCAUGGGUUCUAGAGAAAGAUCCCAUUUCUUCUCGUUCGUCCCGUGGUACGUCGUUUCUUUGAAGCCUGUGUGUUUGGGGAAUUGCGAGCCCUCUGUUUCGGUUGCCUUCAUAUACAAAAAAGGGUUGGGUUGUGUUGUGUGCGCCACUGUGAACAAAUGUAGAGUGCUUAAUUUGGCUCUCCCAUUUUUUAUCUUCUUUUUUUUUUUUUCAAAAUUUAUUUGGAUUUUUGACAACAUUUUCCAUCUCCGUUGGAGCAACAUGGGCUAUUGCACAUGUUUCGUGUUCAGGAAGGGGAAGAAGCUCAAGAGCAACACAGACGAAGAGAAAGAGAUCGUGAAGACGACAAUACGCAAGCCUGAGGAGAAUGUGGCUCAAUUGUCUUCUGGUCAGUUGAUACGGUACGAUUCUCUUUCCUCUUCCUUUAUUUUCCAUUAGAACACCAGAUUGAGAAUGCUAUCAGUUUGUUUCCUGUCAUUAAACUUCAGAGUCAAGACAGUGUUCUUGAUUCUUUUGUGUUGUUUUGUGAUUUGGGUGAUGCUGUAAUAUCGUAAUCAGUUGGCUUUUUAGAUUAGCUCAUCGCGGGUAUUAUAACUGAAUGCGAUCAUGUUCUUGGAGUUUCUUGUUUUCUCAAUUUGUGAUUUUUGUUUUUCAAAUUUACCAGUUACCACCUUCCGUUAUCUGGUUUCAAUUGAAAAUGACAUCUUUUCUGAAAUCCCAAGUUUCAAUCUUUUCUGAAAAUAUUAAAAAUAUGGAUUAGAACAAGUGUGCAAAAAUAUUCAAGAUUGACACUUGUUAAGGGUUUUAUACUUUUCAGCUGGGCUUGUCUAGGAUCAUGACAAAGCUAGCCAUAGUUUCAAGGUUACUCACUGCCAGUACCUAAAUAGGAUAAUGAAAUGACAGCAGUGACUAUUGGAGAACUCAUAUCAACGCUAAAUCUUAGCCAAGCUGUUUACAGUUGCAAUGUAUUUCUAGGAGAAUUGCUUCAUGUAUCUCUAUACUCUAUAGUACUGCUUGUGCUUGGGAGCCUAUGACAGCUUGGGCUGAUCUGUCUGAUGUGAAUUAGCAACAAUAAUGUUGAGGGAGGAGCUUUCCAUCCUUUGGUUAGCUAACAAAGGUAAGCAGGCAACUCUUGACAGAAUCCUUGUCUAGCACUUAGGAGCACUUGUAUAGACUCCAUAGGCUAUUAGAUUGUGUGUUUUGUGUCAGAUUUUGCUGGAAUCUCAUGAGCACUAAUUCUUUGAUUGCUCCUUUUGUGAUGAUGAUAUAUAGGACUCUAGAGUGCGUGGUGAAUAUGGGAUCAUUUCUGGUCUCAUCUUUGUUAAUUGGGCUGCUGUGCUGCUCAAUGGAAAGGUAAACAAGUGCAUUAUGUUAUGUAGUAAAAAAGGCUUUGCCUGGCUGGCUGGGAUUGUGGAUCAUAUCUGGAGGUGGAGAAAUGAUAGGAUUUUGGGAAUGAGAGCAAAGCUUCUCACGGCUGUGCUGUGUUCAACUUGUAAUAUUUCGAGUCUUGCUGUGGAUGGCCAAAGCUUGUGCUGCUCAAAUUGUGUGAGCCAUUUAUGCAGUAAUCUUCCUGUAAUUUUGAAAGCUGCUGGAUUCUUCCUUUGUGUCUGUUCAAAUUGUGUUGCCCUCUGCUCUGUGUCUGUUCUGUUGUGUAUACUAUUACUACUUAAUUAAUACUUAUAGUGGAAGUGGUUAUUGACGCUGUCAGUUAUUUCUGUUUUAUUACUUAGACCUUGUAUUAUAUUAAGAAAAGGCACAUAAUCUCAUUUGCAAUUUGCAACUGGCACGAGAGGGGAAUGCAUAUCAUGUAUUAAUUUGCACAACUGACUAGGCUUUUUGCCUAUUAAAGUUACCAUACCAACCCAAUAGCGACUUUUUUGAAUUUACCAAUUCAAUUCCAUUCCUAAAUCUAAUCUCGCGUGCAUCCCUCAGUUUCAUGUCUAAAAUAUUUUUAAUUCCUUAACUUCUUUAAUCCAUGAGGUCAAACUCCUUGCGCUGCUCCCUCCGAUGACAGUCAACAACUCCCUUCUCUCCUCCCUCAUCUUCCUCCCUCCCUCUUACCAAGCUCACUGAGGUUUGAUGUCCCAUCCCGAGGCUGAUUAUAUAAGUGAACAUAUGCUUCUGUUAAAGUGAAUUAAGUAUCAAUAAUAAGAAGAGUAAUGAGAGGGCAACAAUGCUGUAUAGUUUGAAAUCUCAAGGAUUGCCUUUAUUUCUAUUUCCCGAGUCCAAAAAAACAUUGCACGCAAUAUGAUUUCUAAUUAUCUUUCUUGAUCCUUUUCCAGGUUUUGGUUGAUGUACAUGCAGACCCCAACUUUCUGGUGGCAUAUGGUAAUGCUCAAUUGUUUGACCCAAUUCCUUUUCAGAUUUAAGUUUCUAUUCCACUGCUGUUGUCCAUAAAGCUGCAUUUUGAGGCACUCUAAUCAGCUUCUCUAUUUAUGUUGCCACAGAAUCUCUUUUUAUGUUGCUAAUUGGGUCUGCUUGGUUGUUAACCUUUGUGCAGGAUCAAUUAGUCUGUAACAGGAAUGGUUCUCGAUUCAAUUUUUGGCAUGUUGGGAUCAUAGUUAGUGUCGAAUUUUGUAAAUCUGGAGGAAUUCUAGGCUAUUUAUUACAAAAGCUUUGAACAAUUGGUAAAAGAAAUAAAAGCUUUGAACAAUUCUAGGAUAUUCUAGUCAUGGUGCAAGGUCUGUCACUCAGUACUUUCACUGCGUCACGUAAUGGUGGGCUGUGUGGAUCCAUGCCUUCGUGGAGGAAGCAUUUCAAAUUGACGAGGAAACCCGGAUAAGCUCUGGUAUUGAAAGGUAUGGUAGCUGCCACCUGUGCCAUCAAAACUUGUUCUUUGGAGGUAACCAGAAUAUGUCAAGAGUCUCGAGACAAAGGAGCGUGAGGGUGGAACCGGGGUGGCUGUAUAAAGGGGGUGAUCAAGGGUUCAGUGCAAGCUCCGAGCGAAGCGAGAGUGCUAAUGAGGAUAUUCUGAUAUUCUGAGGUCGGACCACGACAACAACAUCCUUGAUAGGGUUAUGGGGCAAUCCUCGGAAGCAUACAGGGCCAAGCUUAUUCCUGCAGCUCAAUCAUCCAUUCAGGGCUUGGAGAAUGUGAGGCUUGAUGAUCCUACUUUGGCCCCGUCGUCCGCAUGUAUUAUUUGUAUGGAGGGCCUCCUCCUUGUUCAUCACUCUGAUAAUAUUAAUGUCGUCCCUGCUUCUCAAGAUGAUCAUCAUGAUGAAGAUCAAGGUCAAGGGGUUGAUCAUCGCCAUCCACCAAUGACGAUCAAACGCUUGCCCUGCUUACACCAAUUUCAUGAAGAUUGCAUCGUCCCGUGGCUGCAGACCAAUCACUUGUGUCCCCUGUGCCGAUACCCGCUGGAAGUGCGCGAGUCAUCAAAACCCAAACGAAGGAGAUUAUCAUGACAUAAUGAAAGAAGACCUGCAGCCAUGAUGCUCAGCUGGAACAAUACAUGGUAAGAUGUUAAUUAAUUGUUGUAUUAGCUACGGACCUGCUUAUUUCAAUUUCUUUAUUUCGAGGGGAGGGUUUUCAUAUCCUAGUGAUUAUGCUGCUCAUCAAUGAGAAAACAAUGCACUACUGCUACUGGUGUUUUUAAGUUGCAUUAGCGGAUUUCUCUUGUUUAACUAUUUGUGCAUUUAAGCCCGAGAAAAGUAAACAAUCUUAAGAAUUAUAAAUAAUAUAUGGUUUUCUGAGCAAAAUAAUUUCAUUUCUAAUGUGGUUUUCCUCCUAAUUAUAGUCUAUAAGCUCUUUAUUCUUUUCUUUUUUUUUUCUGGUUGUUUGGUUUUCCUGCGACUUAUAUUCCUUCAUGUUUCCUAUAAAGACUGCAAAAUCAUGAAGAAACUUGUAGCGUGCGAAAGAAUUAAGUUAAAACUGAUAAUAUUUAUUUGUUUUCUUCCCCCUCGUUUUCUAGGUAGUUGCUGUCGAUCUUGAGUUUAAUCCUAACACAAGAUCAAAAGAAUGCCUCCUAGUACAGAGCCUGAACUAAUUGGGCUCUUUGCAGGGAGAGAUAACAAAGCUAUAUACCCCAAAUUUUGCGGGGAUAGAUCAGAAUGAUAUACGUGCCUUGGUUUUCCUUAGGCAGAAGCUGGCUUGAUUAGUAUGUUCUCUACGGGAUCAUAAAAUUAACAUGCAUGCAUGUGGGAUCAUUGUACUUGGUGUUCCUCUUCUAGAGGCUUGGCAAGCUGGGUGCAUGCAUGGGAGCAUCAUAUAUACUCAUAUCAUCAAGUCUUUAGAAGAAAGAAGAAUGGAGGUUGGAGUUGAGACUCAAGAUUAUUAGUCUUACACCUCCCACAUAUUAAGGUACUUCAUUCGUAUUAUAAACUACUUUUACAAAAGUUGUGAAUUUUUAAGAAGGGAAAUCAUAUCCAUUCUCAAAGCAAUGGAUCUUUUGAAGUUUUCUGAGUGUAUGCGUCAAUAUAUAUACGUGCCUGCACACACGUGUGUAUGAGAUAGAGAGAGAAUCAGGGAGAUGGAGAUGAGCUUGCUUAAGGCCUAUGUGAAAAUAUUGAGUGGAUGAGUAAUAGUACCUUAUACCUAAAUAACUUUGUAUUUCAAGGUAUCCUUUAGAUUCUAUAUUUUUAUAUGUCUUCCACAGCAUUGAUCGACCGAUCGAUCUGGUUGGAUCCUUUAUAACAGCACAUUACUUUGAAUGCAAUCAAAAAGCAGCAGCCUCGAGAACUAAAUUGUGAUCCAAGAAAUUCACUUCAACCCAAUAUAUUGGGAUCAAUUAUAGCAUUAUAUAAUAGAAAAGAAAUUAAUUAAAAAUGAUAAAACAGAUGAGUUUGACUGUAGUUAACUCGAUAUUAUACCUUUGGGAUCAGAGUUUAGUGGUACUAACUACAGAUUAAUUAACUACUAGAUGAGUGAGAGCUAUAUGUAAUCUCUUUGUUGUCACUUUUAUUUCGUUACGCAUACGGGCGGGCACAACAUUUUCCAAGUAAAUUACUUUAUAACAAGCGUGCAUUUCCCAGCUAAAAGCUUUUCUUUAAUGAUUUUAUUUUUAUGUCAAAACAUGAUCCUAUUUUUCCUAUUCCUAUACAUAUAUAAAUUAAAUAUUAUUCUUUACAUAUGCCCUGCCCAGAUGAUCAUACCCAGUCUCCCUCUCAGUGAUCACUUGUUAAUUCUUAUAGACACACAUCAUCGAUCUCUGCUUAGAUUUAAUAUGUAGGAAACUAAAAUGUAAAAUGUUGUGCUAAAAGCUGUUCUAGCAGUAACAGGUGCGCGUGGCUUGUGUUGUAAUAUCUUUUAUCCCCUAUUUAUUCUAUGAAUCAUCAUGGAAUAAGCAGAACUGGAUUUAUGUGCUUCAUUGAUUAUUUUUCUCCUUUCCUGCUUACUUCUGUUGUAUGAUUCUUAUGUUAUGUUACGUGUUCGGGCAAUUGAGGAGUGGUUUGUGGAAUGGAUCCAGGCUAUCAAGUUCAUGGAUGGAAACUGCACAGGUUGGAGCCAUUUUAUCAGGUUCGAAACCUGGUCUGUAGCCUUCUUGAUUGUGCAUGCGGACAUAUGCUUCUGUUAUGAUAUGUUAAAGUGAAUUAAGUAUCGUUAAUAAGAAGAGUAAUGAGAGGGCAACAAUGCUAUAUAGUUUGAAAUCUCAAGGACUCUCUUUAUUUCUAUUUCCCGAGUCCAAAAACACAUUGCAUGCAAUAUGAUUUCUAAUUAUCUUUCCUUAUCCUUUUCCGGGUUUUGGUUUAUUUAUUUGUUUUUUAAUUUUGAUAGGAUUCCAGGUUUUGGUUGAUGCACAUGCAGACCCCAACCUUCUGGUGGCAUAUGGUAAUACUCAAUUGUUUGACCCAAUUCCUUUUCAGAUAUAAGUUUCUAUUCCACUGCUGUUGUCCAUAAAGCUGCAUUUUGAGGCACUCUAAUCAGCUUCUCUUUUUAUGUUGCCACAGAAUCCAUGUAUAUAGAAUUAAUACUCGCCGCAAGUUUUAAAUCAUAGGAAAUUAAUACUCAUUUUUAAAUUCCAACAGUAUUAUACCAUUCAGUUUUUUUCAGUUAUGAGCAUUAAAUCUGCAGGAUGUCUUGCUUGACUGUUUGUGUAUUGAAAAUAAUUCAGUGAUUCUGUGUAUCAAUCGAAAAUAAUUUUGAUUCCUUGUGCCCUGAACAUUUAGUUCAAGUGAAUUCAUUUGUGGCUUUGAGUAAAGUAGGCAAAUUACAAAGAUAAAGUCCAGUGAAACUAACCAAAUAGAUGAGUGUCCAAGCUUCUGUUUGGCAUGAACUCAUAAAUCAGUAACUUCUCAUCUUUGACGCAGCAGCCCAUGAUCCUAGCAAGAUUUUUAUGUUGGAGCUUGGAGAUGAACAGAAUCUCAUUCUUCAACCCUUCUAUGCCUUGCCCUGAGCUACUAGGUAGUCUUUUACUGCUAUUUCCUUCCCUUCUUGUAGAUCCUACCUACAAAUCAGUCACUGCAUUCUUAUCCUUAUCUUGUAGUUGUAUAGAAUUGUAGCUGUUGUGAUACAAUAUUUUCCUUUAGAAAGAUAGAAGGCAAAAUAAAAACUCACCUUGUAAACUGGACCAAAUCCCACCCUUUCCCAAGUUUGUUUGUGAUAUUGAAAUUGUUUGUAGCGAUUAAUAAGCUGUCAAAAUUAUAGAUGAAUAGCUCCGAUGGAUCUUGGUUUCUAAUAUAUUCUUGAAGUGUGUCUCCUGAAGUCUCAGUAUUAUCAGUCAAUUUAAAAAACUUUGUGGUUACUUUGACUUUUCCUGAUUUGGCAAAUAUAACAAUCAAAUACCGAGUCAGAUAAAACCAUCAAAAUUUCUUCGUUAGCUAACACAGAUGAAUUGCAUCUCUCUCUCUCUCUCUGUCUCUCUCUCUUACCCUUUUGGUUAGCUCGCAAGCUGUGCAAACCAAACACCAUGGCACCCAAGAUACUAAACCAAUAGCUGUGAUCAGGCUGACAAUUAACUUGGUUCAAUUUCCUUCGUCUGAAAAAAAUGAAUUUGUAAUGCAAACAGUGGGACAGGAAAGAAAAGAAAAUAAAUUUCUACUUAAAGCUGUGCAAGCAAUAUUAUCAUCAUUUACCUAUUUCUGUACUGUCUAGGAGAAUAAAAAGAUCAUCUCCGCCAGAGGAAAACUAUUGUAUAUCAAUAAGGUCGUUGGACCAGGCCAAACACCCUAUGUUACUAACGUAUGCAUAAGCCAAGCAAGAACAAUUAUUUAGGCAUUGUAUCUUGCACUCUUCAGCAUCCGAAGACGUGAUAUAUUCAUGGUAGUUUCAACCGUACCAUCUUCAAAACCCGUCUCCUUUUCCUCUCGAAGUGACUGACUUGCUUGUGUACUACUCUCACAAAACAAUUUUGUUUUCCUCACGCACCCUGCAGUCCUGUCUCCUUUGCUCCAUUCCUCAUGUGACUUAGGUACAAACCCUUUCAGGCUGCACAAUAAGAGAAAUACUUUGUUUCCUGCUGCACAUUAUCAUCGAGAUUCAACCCACAACCUUCUAAGAGUGUGCUAGAUUCUGUGUCCCUUGAAAGAUACGUGCCAAUCCAAAAUCUGAAAAUUUUGGGCUCAUCUUCUCAUCCAACAGAAUAUUACUUACCUUCAAACAGGAAUCAUGGUGGAGAUAAACAAGUCCUCUAGCAACACCUUGAAUAAUAUUGAAGCGUUUAGCCCAAUGCACUGCUCUUCUCAUUGGAUCUAAUCAUUACACCCAUUGCCAUUAGAAAUGAAAUCAAUAGUCCCCGACUUCGGCAUACUAGGAUAGGAAGAGCUCAGACAUUAUCAAUGAUACUGAAGAAAGAUAGGUGACAAUGGGAAAUUGCAGCCAAACAUAAAGGACCAGUGAAACUAACCCAAUAAUAUCAUAUCCAAGCUUGUGUUGGAGUUUGGAGAUCAACAGAAUCUCAUUCUUCAACCCUUCGAUGCCUUGCUCUAUUGAAGUUUUAUUAUUUUAUUAUUUUAUCAUUUUUUUUCGGUACGUAUUUGUUUUAACUCUUGAACAAAUUAUUUGCAUCCAUCUUAGUAUGAACCAUAAACGAGAUAACUCUCGGAAACUAGGACUAUUGCUUCGAGACUUAAAUUUAGGGUUCGGAAUACUAAUUGAAACCAUAUUUUGAAACAAUUUCGGAAAGUGAAAAUAAUUUUAAACUCCAAAAAAUUAUUUCAGAUAAAUAAAUAUAAUUCAUUAGUAUUUAUUAUGAAAUUAAUUAAGAUACUAAUUAUUCACUAAAUAAUUCAUAAUUCAAGUAAUCAAAUAAGACUAACAUAUUACUUAAUUUCAAUUAUUAAAUCAAACAAUCUCAUUUUGUAUAAUAAAAAAUCAAAAAAAAAAAAACUAGAAACAUUAAUUUAGUGACCUUUCCCGAUGAAAUUCAUAAGGAGAGAUUUAUCUGGACGCAUUUGCGGGGAUAACCUUCCCAAAGACUCAUUUUGUCACCAUGAACCUGUCACGGCUAAACCCAUCAAAAAUACAUGUCCCAGCGGAUUUCGCAGGGAAAGGUCACCUUUUUUUUUUUGGGAAAAAAAAAAGUUAGUUUCUUUAGUUUAAUCUUUGUAAUUGAGAAAUGUCUUAGCCUUAUUUAAUUAUUUUAAUUCUAUUUUUAGUGAAUAAUUAGUAUUUAAAUAUUUAAAUUAAUUUCAUGAAUUACUCAAUUUAUAGUAAUUAAUUAUUAAUUAUUUUACAUUAUUUGAUGGACUUUUAAAAACAAAUUGUACAAACUUACUUUGUUUAGAGCGAUAUUUGGAAUUACGUAAUAUCUUAGCCUUAUUUAGUUACUUUAAUCAAUAAUUAAUUUUUAGUUAAUGAUUAGUAUUUAUAUACUUUAAUUAAUUUCAUAAAUUACUUCAUAAAUAAUAUUUAAUUCUUUUAAAUUCUUUUGUGGACAUUGAAAACUAUUUUCGAAUUCCAAAAGUAUUUGUAAAAUACUUGUCGUGUACCUGCGUUGUGUAGUUUCUGGUUUUCUGCUCUUUAUGCCACUAAAAACGAGAUUUUUACUGUUUGCAGGCUGAAUUCGAGUUGAAUAUGAGGUGGGUUUGUUUCUAUUGACUUUGGGGGAUCUGGUUGGGCGAGGAGUCUGAGUUCUAAGAAGUAAGGGGGGAGAUAUGGAACCCCCAAAGGGGGUGUUGGCUUCCUUGUGGAACUUUAUCUGUUUUCUACCUUACUUCAUUGGCCUUCUCCUUCGUGGCAACUUUAAAGGUAAAUAUCAGUUUUGUCCUUUGUUUCCUUUUUCUUGUGCUAAUUGGUAUUUCUGGUUAACUCAAAACUGAUUAUGUGGUUAUAUUAGGUUCUAAGUUUUGAUGGGAAAUUGAUAAUAUUUUGGAAACAAGGAUUUUAUUGUUUUUACAAAACAGUUUAGGACACAACACAAUACUGUCCAAUCAUAAUUUUAUACGUGCUCAAUGUAACCUCUCCAUCUGGCGUUGAACCUGUGAUCCAAUAAAACUGGGGUUCUUGACUUUCAUUUCCCAUUUGCCGAAUUAUUGUUUUCUGCUGAUGCUGGGCCUGGCAGUGGUUUGGUUUUCUUUUGCACAACAUUUCUAUCUACAUUACCAUGUCUGAAGAGAUAAGAUUUCAUCCACUAUGUACAAUAACAAGUCUGUGCCUUGAGUAUCAUUUUUGAAUUUUGCUUGCUUACUAUCUUGAAAUGGGUUGUUAACGUUGUAACUAGGAGUGGAUUGAUUAAUUAAGACACAUUGCUUGAAGGAGUAUGACUUAAGGAAAACACGUCAAAUCUAACAUCACAGAAUUAUUUCAGGUAUUCUGUUCUGCCCAUUAAUUUGCCUUAUCAUGACAAUUGGAAACUCGGCUAUCAUAUUGGGUCUUUGGCCGAUACACUUUCUCUGGACUUAUUAUUGCAUGUUUAGGUACGUCCCUUGGCCUCAAUGUUCUUUGUUUCAUUAGUAAUCUCUCUCUCUCUCUCUCUCUCUCUCUCUCUCUCUCUCUCUCUCUCUCUCUCUCUCUCUCCAGCUACUUUGGAAGGAUGGGUUGGGAAUCUUGUUCUCAUGUUGUGUUAAAGCAACAAAAGGAUAAACCGUUCUUGUGAUUCUUCUUUUUUAAUUAUUUAUGUAUUCGUUUUGUAAAAUGAGCAGAGCUAAACGAUAUGGGCCAGCUCUGAAGAUUGUUGUCUGCAUAUUUGUACUCCCCGUCCAAUUGAUCUUGUGGCCAUUGGUUGGAAUCGUUGGAAGUAUUGUGGGUGGAGCAGCAUAUGGCUUUCUUUCACCAGUAAUGGAAACUUUUCAAGCUGUUGGAGAAGGGAAGACCAAUCAAUUGUACCACUGCUUUUACGUAUGUCUUCAAUUUUCAAAUUGUGUUAUAAAUUAUGUUUGCUCUUGUCCGCCCCAUUAUGGAGAUUUUUCUUUCACAACAUUUUGCAGGAUGGAACUUGGAGCACCGUCCAAGGGUGCUUCACUGUUGUGAGGGAUUUUGGGGAUGUUUGUUACCACACAUACUUCUCGGUUAUGGAUGACCUGAGAGAACAAGGUCCUCCAUAUGCAAAAUAUUAUGAGAUCCGGGAUGUUAAUCCAGGAAGUUAGGGAUGAACUGCAUGAUAAGUUUCUUUAUCAUUUCAGUUUCAUGUGGUUUGCUUUUGUGAUCCAGCAGUUUAUCUCAUGAUCAUUCUUUGUUUCUCACCAGAAAACUUUCCAACUUUCUUGCAGGGUGCUAUAUCUUCCUGGGGCUGUUAUAAUAUCAGUCUUUGGUUUCAUGGUUGAUAUGCCGGUGAUCUCAUGUAUUGCCCUAUGCAAAUCCCCAUACAUGCUCUUCAAGGGGUGGCAUCGUUUGUUUCAUGACCUUAUAGGUCGGGAGGGCCCUUUUUUGGAAACAAUAUGUGUUCCAUUUGCAGGUCUUGCUAUCCUACUCUGGCCGUUGGCUGUUGUAGGGGCAGUGCUGGGAUCAAUGGUGGCCAGUAUCUUUCUUGGUGCUUUUGCUGGAGUGGUUGUUUAUCAGGUUAUUCUGUGCUCAAUUUUUCUCUACCGAACUUGUUUGAUGUCACUUGCAUGUAUCUCUCUGUGUAUAUUCAGAUAUUUUUGGUUAAGUCCUUGUCAUGUAGAUCGUAAGUAUUAAGAGAUUGUAUGACCUUUGGGUUACAGGAGUCCUCAUUUUGGUUGGGGCUAUGCUAUAUCAUUGCAUCCUUGUCGAUAUAUGAUGAAUACAGCAAUGAUAUCCUUGACAUGCCAGAAGGAUCCUGCUUUCCAAGGUUAUAGUCAAGACUCUACAGUCUAAGGUUUUGAUAUGGGGUUCAUGCACUUUGACAUUAUUUAAUUGAUUUAUUAUAAUGACAGGCCAAACUACCGAAAGAAGGCCAAAUUGGUCCGAACCAAUUCUCGUGGAUCCUCUUUCUCAAGGCCCGGCUCCUUCCGAAGUGUUCCCUCCCGCUCGGUUUCAUUCACUAAUCCUAUCACUGAGUUGAAUCCCCUUGAGGUAUGGUGCAUGUGUUAUGUGUUAUGUUUAGCCUUAAUGGCUGCUUCGUACUGGAAUCAAGUUUGCAUAUUAUCUGUAUGUGUUGGAUGAUACAUGGACUAAAGUGUACAAUUUUGAACACAUCCUAUUUAGUUUAUGGUUUAGGUGCUGAUGAACAACUUUCAUGGCUCGUGUAGCUAAUGGAUAGCUUAUUUAAGGAGUGUAAACAUCAUGGGGAAAUCAUGGUUUCUGAAGGAAUAAUUACACUUCAAGACAUUGAAGAUGCUAAGUCCAGUAAAGGGAGCAGAGUUAUAAGCAUUGGCUUACCAGCUUAUUGCCUUCUUCAAGCACUUCUGCGAUCUGCAAAAGCAAAUUCGGUGGGCAUAUUGUUAAGUAAGUCAAAUUUUUUACCCCCCUCAACACUCUUACCAGUUAACUUGUGUAAUUUUGUUUUAUAGAAUUCUAUACUGAGAUAACUAGCACAAAUAGACCAAACAAACACUCUCUUUGAUUGGUUUCUCCAAACUUCUGUUGUUUUACAAAGUUUCAUUUAACACUCUCACAACUGAUGACUAAGUUUGUACCUGAUUGAUGUAGGUGACAAUGUUACUGAGUUGACUAGUUCAAACAGACCAAAAGAAACAUUCUUUGAUUGGUUUUUCAAUCCGUUGUUGAUCAUCAAGGACCAGAUAAAAGCAGAAAACCUUUCUGAAGCAGAAGAGGCCUACCUUUGCAAGUUAGUUCUGUUGAAUGGUGAUCCUUUGAGGUUGAAAAACUCAAACAUUGGCUCAGCACCUGAAUCCGAGCGUAAACAGGCUGAACUUGAUGCAUUUGCUCGAAGGUAGUCAUGCAAUUUUGCUUAUAUUACAGGAUCUUCUGAUUUUUUUUCCCCUUUCCCUCUUUUCUCUGGUUCUCUAUUUUGUGAUUUAUCCUAUU
rnacentral:lncRNA from 1 species